rnacentral:rRNA from 1 species
GGCGGACGGGUGAGUAAUGUCUGGGAAACUGCCUGAUGGAGGGGGAUAACUACUGGAAACGGUAGCUAAUACCGCAUAACGUCGCAAGACCAAAGUGGGGGACCUUCGGGCCUCUUGCCAUCGGAUGUGCCCAGAUGGGAUUAGCUUGUUGGUGGGGUAACGGCUCACCAAGGCGACGAUCCCUAGCUGGUCUGAGAGGAUGACCAGCCACACUGGAACUGAGACACGGUCCAGACUCCUACGGGAGGCAGCAGUGGGGAAUAUUGCACAAUGGGCGCAAGCCUGAUGCAGCCAUGCCGCGUGUAUGAAGAAGGCCUUCGGGUUGUAAAGUACUUUCAGCGGGGAGGAAGGGAGUAAAGUUAAUACCUUUGCUCAUUGACGUUACCCGCAGAAGAAGCACCGGCUAACUCCGUGCCAGCAGCCGCGGUAAUACGGAGGGUGCAAGCGUUAAUCGGAAUUACUGGGCGUAAAGCGCACGCAGGCGGAUUGUUAAGUCAGAUGUGAAAUCCCCGGCCUCAACCUGGGAACUGCAUCUGAUACUGGCAAGCUUGAGUCUCGUAGAGGGGGGUAGAAUUCCAGGUGUAGCGGUGAAUUGCGUAGAUAUCUGGAGGAAUACCGGUGGCGAAGGCGGCCGCCUGGACGAAGACUGACGCUCAGGUGCGAAAGCGUGGGGAGCAAACAGGAUUAGAUACCCUGGUAGUCCACGCCGUAAACGAUGUCGACUUGGAGGUUGUGGCCUUGAGGCGUGGCUUCCGGAGCUAACGCGUUAAGUCGACCGCCUGGGGAGUACGGCCGCAAGGUUAAAACUCAAAUGAAUUGACGGGGGCCCGCACAAGCGGUGGAGCAUCUGGUUUAAUUGGAUGCAAGGCGAAGAACCUUACCUGGUCUUGACAUCCACGGAAGAUUUCAGAGAUGAGAAUGUGCCUUCGGGAACCGUGAGACAGGUGCUGCAUGGCUGUCGUCAGCUCGUGUUGUGAAAUGUUGGGUUAAGUCCCGCAACGAGCGCAACCCUUAUCCUUUGUUGCCAGCGGUCCGGCCGGGAACUCAAAGGAGACUGCCAGUGAUAAACUGGAGGAAGGUGGG